rnacentral:ncRNA from 1 species
AAAAAGUUUUAUUUUGGCUUAGAAAUUAAGUAUCAUUUUUAAUUAUAUGUAAAUUUUAUUAAAGAAUAAUUAUGCAGUAUUUAAUAUUAAAAAUUUAAGAAAUUAAGAAUUAGAAAUAGUAUAUAAUAUAAACUAAAUUUGUGCCAGCAGUUGCGGUUAUACAAAUUAUAUAAAUUAAUUUUAUUAAUUUUAAUUAGUUAAACUUUAAAUUUUAAAAUUAAAUUUAUUUGGUGAAAUUAUAAAUUUAUAAUAAAAUUUAUAUUUGUUAAUAAUGUUAAGAAAUUUUUGUAAUAAACUAGGAUUAGAUACCCUAUUAUUUAAAGUGUGAUUUUAGUAUUAAAUUAGUAUUAGUUAUGAUCUUGAAAAUUAAAAAUUUUGGCGGUAUUUUAAUCUAUUCAGAGGAACCUGUUCUAUAAAUGAUAAUCCACGAUUUAAUUUACUUUUAUUAUUAAUUUAUAUAUCGUCGUUAUUUAAAUAUCUUUUUAAAGUUUUAAUAUUUAAAAAUUUUUUAAGAAAAUAUUUCAGAUCAAGGUAUAGUUUAUAUAAAAGAAGAAAUGGGUUACAAUAAAUUUAUUUUAGGAUUAAUAUUUUUAAAUUGUUAUAAAUUUGGAUUUGAUAGUAAUUUUAAUUAAUUUAUUAAAAUGAUUUUAGUACUAAAAUAUGUACAUAUUGCCCGUCACUUUCAUUUAAUAUGAAAUAAGUCGUAACAAAGUAGAUUUACUGGAAAGUGAAUCUAGAAAACA